rnacentral:rRNA from 1 species
GAUGAACGCUGGCGGCGUGCCUAAUACAUGCAAGUCGAGCGAACGGACGAGAAGCUUGCUUUUCUGAUGUUAGCGGCGGACGGGUGAGUAACACGUGGAUAACCUACCUAUAAGACUGGGAUAACUUCGGGAAACCGGAGCUAAUACCGGAUAAUAUUUUGAACCGCAUGGUUCAAAAGUGAAAGACGGUCUUGCUGUCACUUAUAGAUGGAUCCGCGCUGCAUUAGCUAAUUGGUAAGGUAACGGCUUACCAAGGCAACGAUGCAUAGCCGACCUGAGAGGGUGAUCGGCCACACUGGAACUGAGACACGGUCCAGACUCCUACGGGAGGCAGCAGUAGGGAAUCUUCCGCAAUGGGCGAAAGCCUGACGGAGCAACGCCGCGUGAGUGAUGAAGGUCUUCGGAUCGUAAAACUCUGUUAUUAGGGAAGAACAUAUGUGUAAGUAACUGUGCACAUCUUGACGGUACCUAAUCAGAAAGCCACGGCUAACUACGUG